rnacentral:rRNA from 1 species
UAGCGAAAUUCCUUGUCGGGUAAGUUCCGACCCGCACGAAAGGCGUAAUGAUUUGAGCGCUGUCUCGGCAAUACAUCCGGUGAAAUUGAAGUGCCAGUGAAGAUGCUGGCUACCCGCGCCAGGACGGAAAGACCCCAUGGAGCUUUACUCCAGUUUGGCACUGGGGUCCGGUGUUGCAUGUACAGGAUAGGUGGGAGGCUGAGAAACGGUAACGUCAGUUGCCGCGGAGCCGCUGUUGGGAUACCACCCUUGUGAUAUUGGGCUUCUAACCAGCCGCCGUGAUCCGGCGGUGGGACAAUGCCAGGCGGGGAGUUUGACUGGGGCGGUCGCCUCCGAAAGGGUAUCGGAGGCGCCCAAAGGUUCCCUCAGAAUGGACGGAAACCAUUCGAAGAGUGCAAAGGCAGAAGGGAGCUUGACUGCGACACCGACGGGUGGAGCAGGUACGAAAGUAGGGCUUAGUGAUCCGGUGGUAUUAAGUGGGAAUGCCAUCGCUCAACGGAUAAAAGCUACCCUGGGGAUAACAGGCUUAUCACUCCCAAGAGUUCACAUCGACGGAGUGGUUUGGCACCUCGAUGUCGGCUCAUCGCAUCCUGGGGCUGUAGUAGGUCCCAAGGGUUGGGCUGUUCGCCCAUUAAAGCGGUACGCGAGCUGGGUUCAGAACGUCGUGAGACAGUUCGGUCCCUAUCCGGCGUGGGCGUAGGAUAUCUGAGAGGAGCUGUCCUUAGUACGAGAGGACCGGGAUGGACGGACCGCUGGUGCAUCGGUUAGACUGCCAAGUCUACGGCCGAGUAGCCAAGCCCGGAAGGGAUAAACGCUGAAGGCAUCUAAGCGUGAAGCCCCCCUCAAGAUGAGAUAUCCCAUUCUUAGUGAAGUAAACCCCCUUGAAGACGACGAGGUAGAUAGGGCAGAGGUGGAAGUGUGGUAACACAUGGAGCUGACUGUUACUAAUCGGGUGAGGGCUUGACCAA